UACGGAGGGUGCAAGCGUUAUCCGGAUUCACUGGGUUUAAAGGGUGCGUAGGCGGGUUGGUAGUCCGUGGUGAAAUCCCAAGCUUAACUUGGGAACUGCCGUGGAUACUAUCAAUCUUGAAUAUCGUGGAGGUAAGCGGAAUAUGUCAUGUAGCGGUGAAAUGCUUAGAUAUGACAUAGAACACCAAUUGCGUAGGCAGCUUACUACACGAUCAUUGACGCUGAGGCACGAAAGCGUGGGGAGCAAACAGG
rnacentral:rRNA from 1 species